UUGUGCCGACUGUGCGGAAGCGAGCGAUCUAAUCGCCAUGUCAUAUUUGUCUGGUUGCACUGCAGUAACUGGCAACUCUGAUCGUUGCAUGACAGAUUGUUUUUGUUUAUUUUUGAAAUCAACGAAAUUGUUGAGUUUGCUUGGCGGAGACGGCUUUUCAGAUUUUUGAACAUAUUUAUGUUCAGUGACUAAGAAAUGGAGCAGAAAUUAUCUUUGAUUUGAAUGCUAACCAGGACAACGGAUGUGCUACGGAUUUGAUGGAUGACGCUGGAUUGUGUAAAACGGUUAACUACAACUCUACAACUAUAGGAUCUAUCCGAGGAAUCCCAAGGCAAAGCUGGCGAUCAAGAGAGCGGUUGAGCUGAAACACUUCGUGGUAGAUGAAUGGCAUUUGCGGAAGUUAAGAAAAUUGUUGAGAAUCGAUCUGGCACAGUCGUUUCUAUGAGUUUCCGUGACCAAACUGGCUAAUCCACAACGCCGGCACCAAUGUGCUGAAAGGUGACCCAUCGGGAUUGUUCGUGACCGUGGAAUGCCGCUGGUAUUGCUACUUAGUGGAAGCUGGGUUUCAAAAAUCGACGUGGGCCAUCGCGGACCCUAGCAUCAAUUUGAACGCCAAAGACCAGCUACCGGAGAAUCAAUAUAAAAAUGGUUGUGAUAGCUUUGACGGAACAAUAUAUGAUGCACGCUGCAGUAUUAAAAUAGCUGUAACGUCUGAUUAUCUGUGAUAUCUAUAUACUUUUCAAUAAAUCUACCUCUAGGAUGUGACUUCUAUGACAUCAAGAUUAUAAACCUGAA